rnacentral:rRNA from 4 species
AAGUCGUAACAAGGUUUCCGUAGGUGAACCAGCGGAGGGAUCAUUACCGAGUUUACAACUCCCAAACCCCUGUGAACAUACCUUAAUGUUGCCUCGGCGGAUCAGCCCGCGCCCCGUAAAACGGGACGGCCCGCCAGAGGACCCAAACUCUAAUGUUUCUUAUUGUAACUUCUGAGUAAAACAAACAAAUAAAUCAAAACUUUCAACAACGGAUCUCUUGGUUCUGGCAUCGAUGAAGAACGCAGCGAAAUGCGAUAAGUAAUGUGAAUUGCAGAAUUCAGUGAAUCAUCGAAUCUUUGAACGCACAUUGCGCCCGCUAGUAUUCUAGCGGGCAUGCCUGUUCGAGCGUCAUUUCAACCCUCAAGCACUGCUUGGUGUUGGGGUCCUACGGCUGCCGUAGGCCCUGAAAGAAAGUGGCGGGCUCGCUACAACUCCGAGCGUAGUAGAAUCCUAUCUCGCUAGGGAGGUACGGCGUGCUCCGGCCGUUAAAGUCCCAUCUUUAACCCAAGGUUGACCUCGGAUCAGGUAGGAAUACCCGCUGAACUUAA